rnacentral:rRNA from 1 species
UACGAAGGGGGCUAGCGUUGUUCGGAAUUACUGGGCGUAAAGCGUAUGCAGGCGGAUCGUUAAGUCGGGGGUGAAAUCCCGAGGCUCAACCUCGGAACUGCCUUCGAUACUGGCGAUCUUCGAGUCCGGGAGAGGUGAGUGGAACUCCGAGUGUAGAGGUGAAAUUCGUAGAUAUUCGCAAGAACACCAGUGGCGAAGGCGGCUCACUGGCCCGAUACUGACGCUGAGGCACGAAAGCGUGGGUAGCAAACAGG